UGGAGGGAAGGCUGCAGCUCCUGGGGGUGUGUUGGUGUGGGGCUAUAAGGUUUGUGCUGGGUCCCUGGAGCAGUGGGAACACCCCACAGGGAGAUGCACAUCAGGAAAUGGGUGCAUAAAAGGCCUGAAGUGUGACCAGCUUUGGUGAAGGGUUCCAUAGGAAAUAAUAUUUUUACUGAGAUUUUGGACAAUUUGAGGCUCCUUCUCGUGUCCUUUGCCCGAUGAACAUUCCCCUUUUCAAGAGCUUGGGGAAUGCAGAGCUCACACAAUGAAAAUCCCUGAUUAUUAUAUCUCUUUUCUGUUCUUUGAUGUUGUCAUCCCUGCAGGAGUCAGAGGAAGAGAAUAUGUGUGACCUGCCUGGCUUUAACGUUGUGCCAGGAGCAAUGCCAUGGGGAAGCUGGUCAGAGGAGCAUCUGAGAAGUGUGUGGUACAUCAGGGAUGUCCUACUACUGAUCUUUGCACAGAGAUGAAAAAGUAUCAGUUUGCAUGGCCUGAAUGUCUGGCUCGGGACAUUCUGCAUUGCACGAGAUGUGCUGAGUUCAUCUGGCUCUGAAAUAUCAUCUCUGCACCUUAGCCAGGAACAGCAUCAGAGUUCUGAACAGAUUCAUCAAAAUCAGUCAUAACCCAGAGGCAAACCUUGGCAAUACACAUCGGUGGCAGGUUUUUCUGUUUGAAAGGAAGCUUGGCACAAUGUCCAUUGUCUUCUCCAUUUGUGAAAGACCAAGCGGAGUCUGGGCAGGCUGAUAUGCAGAGCAAAACCUGAAAAUAUACUAGUGAUCCUGACCCUGGGGGAUGCAGAUAAACCCUACCAGAAGGAAUUUCUGGAAAGCUGAUCCUGGUUUACAUUAUCUUGAGUUUGGCUUUGGCAACUUCACCAGUCUUUUAUGAAAAAGCAAACAAAAAACUCAAACAAAAUCAGACAAAAACCCAAUCAAUCAAUCAAACAAACACACCCAGCAGCAAACCAAUCAAACAAA